rnacentral:lncRNA from 1 species
AAGGAGGGAGGAGGAGAAGAGGAAGGGUCGCGAGCGGCGAGGAGGAGUAAAUGAGCUAGGGUUUCUGAGAAACUCAAAAGUAAUUAAAAAAGUGGGGGUCUAUGGGUACCUAUUUUGGGGGGAGGGAAAGUGACGGACAGAUGGGGGGAAAUGGACGUGGGGAAAUGGAUGAUUGUGGGAGGGAAAGGAAAAAAAAUAAAUUUGGGUGGGGGGAGUGGACGAUGGUGGGGACUGGGGAGGGAAAGGAAAAUAAAUUUGGGGAUGGGGGGGAAAUGGAUAAGGAAAAUAACAGAGUUAGGUGGACUCUAAUGGGAUUUUUUUUUUAAUUAGUAAAAUAAAUAAAAUAAAUAAAUGAGAUUAAAAAAUAAAAGUAAAUUUAGGGAGAGGGGGGGAUUUCGCAAAAUAAAUGUAAAUUUGGGAUAAUGAAAAAAAAGUGUAAGAUUUAUUAAUAUUAUUAGUAUAAAUUCAUUAUAAACUCUUUAUUUAUUUGUGAAUUUGAAUCAAAUUAAUUAAAAAUAAAAAUAUUUAUUUAAUAUUUAAC